CAGUAGCCGCGGGAAUACGAAGGGGGCUAGCGUUGUUCGGAAUUACUGGGCGUAAAGGGCGCGUAGGCGGCCAUUCAAGUUAGAUGUGAAAGCCCUGGGCUCAACCUAGGAAUUGCAUUUGAUACUGUUUGGCUUGAGUUCGGGAGAGGUGAGUGGAAUUCCCAGUGUAGAGGUGAAAUUCGUAGAUAUUGGGAAGAACACCAGUGGCGAAGGCGGCUCACUGGACCGACACUGACGCUGAGGCGCGAAAGCGUGGGGAGCAAACAGGAUUAGAUACCCGUGUAGUCCCUGUCUCUUAUAC
rnacentral:rRNA from 1 species